rnacentral:rRNA from 1 species
CCCAGACUCCUACGGGAGGCAGCAGUGGGGAAUAUUGCACAAUGGGGGAAACCCUGAUGCAGCGACGCCGCGUGAGCGAUGAAGUAUUUCGGUAUGUAAAGCUCUAUCAGCAGGGAAGAAAAUGACGGUACCUGACUAAGAAGCCCCGGCUAACUACGUGCCAGCAGCCGCGGUAAUACGUAGGGGGCAAGCGUUAUCCGGAUUUACUGGGUGUAAAGGGAGCGUAGACGGCGGUGCAAGCCAGAUGUGAAAGCCCGGGGCUCAACCCCGGGACUGCAUUUGGAACUGUGCUGCUAGAGUGUCGGAGAGGCAGGCGGAAUUCCUAGUGUAGCGGUGAAAUGCGUAGAUAUUAGGAGGAACACCAGUGGCGAAGGCGGCUUUCUGGCUCAUAACUGACGCUGAGGCGCGAAAGCGUGGGGAGCAAACAGGAUUAGAUACCCCCGUA